rnacentral:tRNA from 1 species
GCGAGGGUGGCGGAAUGGUAGACGCGCUAGCUUGAGGUGCUAGUCCACGCAAGUGGGUGGGGGUUCAAGUCCCCUCCUUCGCAC